GUGAGUCAUCGAAUCUUUGAACGCACAUUGCGCCCGCCAGUAUUCUGGCGGGCAUGCCUGUUCGAGCGUCAUUUCAACCAUCAAGCCCCUGCGCUUGUGUUGGAGCCCUGCGGCUGCCGCAGGCUCCCAAACCCAGUGGCGGGCUCGUCGUCGUACCGAGUGCAGUAAACUUACCACGCUCAGGGCACGCGACGGGUGACCGGCCGUAAAACCCCCCACUUCUCAAGGUUGACCUCGGAUCAGGUAGGAAUACCCGCUGAACUUAAGCAUAUCAAUAAGCGGAGGA
rnacentral:misc_RNA from 1 species